CUCAGGACGAACGCUGGCGGCGUGCCUAAUACAUGCAAGUCGAACGCUUUUUCUUUCACCGGAGCUUGCUCCACCGAAAGAAAAAGAGUGGCGAACGGGUGAGUAACACGUGGGUAACCUGCCCAUCAGAAGGGGAUAACACUUGGAAACAGGUGCUAAUACCGUAUAACACUAUUUUCCGCAUGGAAGAAAGUUGAAAGGCGCUUUUGCGUCACUGAUGGAUGGACCCGCGGUGCAUUAGCUAGUUGGUGAGGUAACGGCUCACCAAGGCAACGAUGCAUAGCCGACCUGAGAGGGUGAUCGGCCACACUGGGACUGAGACACGGCCCAGACUCCUACGGGAGGCAGCAGUAGGGAAUCUUCGGCAAUGGACGAAAGUCUGACCGAGCAACGCCGCGUGAGUGAAGAAGGUUUUCGGAUCGUAAAACUCUGUUGUUAGAGAAGAACAAGGAUGAGAGUAAAAUGUUCAUCCCUUGACGGUAUCUAACCAGAAAGCCACGGCUAACUACGUGCCAGCAGCCGCGGUAAUACGUAGGUGGCAAGCGUUGUCCGGAUUUAUUGGGCGUAAAGCGAGCGCAGGCGGUUUCUUAAGUCUGAUGUGAAAGCCCCCGGCUCAACCGGGGAGGGUCAUUGGAAACUGGGAGACUUGAGUGCAGAAGAGGAGAGUGGAAUUCCAUGUGUAGCGGUGAAAUGCGUAGAUAUAUGGAGGAACACCAGUGGCGAAGGCGGCUCUCUGGUCUGUAACUGACGCUGAGGCUCGAAAGCGUGGGGAGCGAACAGGAUUAGAUAC
rnacentral:rRNA from 1 species